UUUUCGUCGUGUUUCCUUUCUUCUCUUCUCUUCUUCCUUGAAAACAUGUUUCUUUCAUUUGUGCACCUCUGGAUCCAUAUUUCUGUUCGUGUAAGCCUAAAGCACUGGUUUUAGAAGGGUUGGCAAAAUUGGGGAAAAGUAGCGGCGUGAGCACGAGAGAGAGGAUGAGGGAGCCUUCAAUGUCAAAUCCAUUACAGGCGUGACUCGUAGGAAUGAACAACAGUUAUUGGGGAUCGAAAUGGGAAAGGGCAAAAGACAAAGGCGAGACUGUGAGUAGUAGAUAAUAGUCGUUUUUGGAGAGGAUGGUGUUCGAUGAGUGAGGAGCAAGCGAAGGGGAGCGCUUUGGACGUCGGACCUCCGAGGGAGGGUCAAAAGAGAGAACCAAACCAGGAUUAAGUUCCUCCAUUUCCCUCAGAGACUGCUAUAGCUAUUGUUGAAGAAGAACUUGAAUCUCCUUUAGCUAGCAUUUUUUAUCAUUUUGACUAUGAAGCAAUAGUUGCUGCAAGUCUUGGUAAUCAGUGUUAACUUGAAAUUACAAGCCACUAAGAACCGACAUAUUAGUAGUGGCACUCUGUGAAGCUUCACUCAACUCUUGGCAUUUCAAUUGCUUUGCUUGUUCCUUCCAGAUGCAGAUAAGAUACAUAUUUUUUUUUCUUGGUUAAAACUAGUAAGUUAAAUAGUUAUUGGGAGUGACCAUACUUCGGAGAAAAAAGCUUGAGAAGUCAGAUACUUAUACCAUGGAAACAAGAAGACAUUGACAUUCCAAUAUUUAAGUUUUCAACCAUAGCUAAUGCAACUAAUGACUUUUGCAUCACUAAAAUUUUGGAGAAGGUGAAUUUGGACCAGUUUACAAGUAUUUUCUAGUUGUAGAUGUCAACGAUAUCGUGACAAUCAACUUAUUGAAGUUAUGAAGAUUGGUGUUUAAAUGUAAUUGGUACAUGCUUAUAGGUUAUGUUAUGGUGAUGUACAUGCUUAUAGGUACACAUAAGAUAUAUAUGUUAUGGUUGUAUGUAUUAUCUUAUAAAGCAAUGUCAUGUCAUGACAUGUACUAGACGACUCAAUGAUUAUAUUUUGAAAUAGUAUUGUACCAAUAGUUUUUAUUCA